rnacentral:lncRNA from 1 species
GUCCGCAUGUAAACGUCUAGAAUUUGUCACCAACAUAAGUACAUCGCAAUCCGUUACUGUUUCAACAGCCACCGGUGUUUCAUGUGUGUAUUCUUAAACAAGUAUUUUUUUCUCUCGUUUUUAGCAAUGUAUCACUCUCUACUGUCCUUAUAUAUUAUUCUAUAUUCUGCGUUUCCAUCCAGAUUCUCGUGUAUACCAUGACGGUCCGGAUUGGGGGUAUUGUUUAUUUCUUUAAAUUGUUAUGUCAUUUUUUUCUACAUUUUAUUUAUCUUACUCAUUAUUCUUUCUUUAUUUUUCAUAUUUUGUCAUCCCAAUAUAUUUUACUUACUGAUGUUUAGUUACAUUACGACGUUUAUCUCUGAUUUAUAUACUGGUUACCAAU